GACUUUGGGGAAUUUCAAUGUUUUGCUUUUCAUCUUCCUGAGAGUCCAGAAGCCUCCCCGUCAGAAGUGUGUUAACAGCAGUUCAGCCCAUUUCAGGGUGAAGGACAGUUUGUCAUCUAACUGUUUUAACCCUCUUAGGGAGAAAGUACAUAGACUGAAAAGAAUUUGACUGAACGAAGACUCGAUCACACGCUGUGUACCCGCCCUGUGUAGGUGAACUCAGUGCAAAUAUCUAAUUGGAAUCCUGAAUGACACCAAAACCCUUUGCUGGAGCUGGGAGCAGAGAGGGAAUUAUGAGGGGGAGGCAACAGGAAGCGUCACCUGGUCAGGAAGGACUCCCUGAGCCUCAGCUAACAGGAAGCGUCACCUGGUCAGGAAAGAUUCCCUGAGCCUCAGGUCAGUUUAUGAUGUGUCUGGCCGCAGAUCUCUGAUUUAGUCCUACCUGGAGUUCAUUGAACUUCUUGGAUAUGUAGAUUAAUGUUUUUCAUCAAAUUUGGGCUUGAAUUUCUCAUUCAUUUGGUAGCUUAGAGUCCCAGGAUUAAGAUAUGGUGAUGCAUGGAGGGAGAACCCCACUCUGGGAAGAGAAGAGCAACAGCAUCUCCUGUCUCCCUCAGUCCAGGCUUUGUGCCAGAUUAUCUCACGGAUCCUCACAAGUACACAGCCUAGGUGACUUAAAAGAAGAAGAGAUUAAGACACAGACAGAUACAGAGGAAAGAUUACAUGAAGACUCAGGAAAAUGACGCCAUCUACAAGCGAAGGAGAGAGGCCUCAGGAUAAAUCAACCCUACAGACACCUUAAUCUCAGAUUUCUAGCCUCUAGACUUGUAAGAAAAUAAAUUUCUGUUGUUUAAGUG
rnacentral:lncRNA from 1 species